UGGUAGUGUAUUGGACAACCAUUGGUAGUGUACUGGACAACCAUGGCAGUCACGGGUAACGGAGAAUUAGGGUUCGAUUCCGGAGAGGGAGCCUGAGAAAUGGCUACCACUUCUAAGGAAGGCAGCAGGCGCGUAAAUUACCCAAUCCUGAUUCAGGGAGGUAGUCACAAGAAAUAACAACUCGGGUCCCUCGUGGAUUGCGAGAUUGCAAUGAGAGCAAUUUAAACCACUUAUCCAGUAACAAUUGGAGGGCAAGCCUGGUGCCAGCAGCCGCGGUAAUUCCAGCUCCAAUAGCGUAUAUUAAAGUUGUUGCAGUUAAAAAGCUCGUAGUUGAAUUUCUGGUGAGCUGGAUGCUGUGCUUCGGCCGGUAAACAGUUUCAUCAUCCGUAGGGGAAACUUGUUCGGCCUUCACUGGUCGGCAGGCGGAAUCUACAAUUUACUGUGAAAAAAUUAGAGUGUUUCAGGCAGGCAAUCGCUUGGAUACUCCAGCAUGGAAUAAUGGAAUAGGACUUUUGUCGAUUUGUUGGUUCAAGGCAAAAGUAAUGAUUAACAGGGACAGUUGGGGGCAUUCGUAUUUAAUUGUCAGAGGUGAAAUUCUUGGAUUUAUUAAAGACGAACUUAUGCG
rnacentral:rRNA from 1 species